GGAACCCAAACAGGACACGGAGGAACCCAAACAGGAACCAUGGGGGUGGCCUGGGACGACACGGUGGGGGGGGCACAAAGGGACACGGAUGGUGACAUUGGGGGGGACCCAAAGGGGGGGCUCCUACCUUCUUGCGGUGGGGGUGGCUCUUGGCCAGGCAGGAGCGCGGCAGCGCCAGGUACCCGCCGAUGACCUGGAUCUCCUCGGCCGUGGGGUAACGCUUCUUGGGGGGGGGCAGCGGCCCCGGUGCCGGUUGGGGGGGCUCAGGCGCGGCGGCGGCCCCGGGGCCCCCGCGGCGCGGGCGCACGGUGAUGGUGUUGCCGCUGCGGCGCUCCAGCGCCGGGUGGCCCAGGGGGGGCCCGUGGCGGGGGCCCCCGCGCAUGGCGGCGCCCGGCUCCUCCCACCCGCACCCGGCGCCGGUGACGGCGGCGGCGGCACCACCGAGCACGUGGUGGGGCCGGAGGGUGGCUCCGUGUCCUUGGGUGGCAGCAGGUCUUUAGUUGUAACCAGGGCCUUUGGUGUCACCAUGUUCUUGGGUGUCAACAGGUCUUUGGGUGUCACCAUGUCCUUGGGUGUCCCCGGUUUUGGGUGUCACCAGGUCCUUGGGUGUCAACAGGUCUUUGGGUGUCACCAUGUCCUUUGGUGUCACCACGUUCUUGGUUGCCACCAGGUCCUUGGUUGUCCCCAGGUCUUUGGGUGUCACCAUGUCCUUGGGUGUCACCAUGUCCUUUGGUGUCACCACGUUCUUGGUUGCCACCAUGUCCUUGGUUGUGCCCAGGUCCUCGGAUGUCACCAUGUCCUUGGGUGUCACCAGGUCCUUGGAUGUCACCAAGUCUUUGGGUGUCCCCAGGUCUUUGGGUGUCCCCAUGUCCUUUGGUGUCACCAGGUCCUUGCUUGUCCCCAGGUCUUUGGUUGCCCCCAGCCCCUCAACAGCCCCUGGGCUGGUGGCCCCUCCAUGGCCCUUCACCACCCUAUAGCCCUCAACUGUCCCCACCAUGCCCUUCACUGCCCCCCAUGUCUCAACAGUCCCCACAUCCUUGGUUGCCCCACAUCUCUCAACAGUCCCCAUGUCCUUGCUUGCCCCCCCAUGUCUCAAUGGUCCCUAUAUCCUUGCUCGCCCCCCAUGUCUCAAAGGUCCCUAUAUCCUUGCUCGCCCCCCAUGUCUCAAUGGUCCCCAUGUCCUUGCUUGCCCCCCAUCUCUCAAUGGUCCCCAUGUCCUUGCUUGCCCCCCUCUCAAUGGUCCCCAUGUCCUUGCUUGUCCCCAGCUCUUUUCGCCCCGGGCUGGUGCCCCCCCCAUGGUCCUUGGCUGUUCUAUGGCUCUCAACUGUCCCCACCGCGUCCUUCACCGCCCCCCACGUCCCCCCCAUCCUACAACCCUCAACGUCCUCACCCGGCCCCACAUCCUCUCCCGCCCCGCUCCCGCUCGGGGGCCGGUCCCGCUCGGGGCUGAGGGACCGCGCUGGGGAGAAGCGGGAGCGGAGGCGACUGACGCGGCCGCGCGGGGGCUCCGCUUCCCCGCAGCGCUCCAGCGCCUCCGCGCUGCGGCUCAGCCCGGCGCCAGCAGCGGCGCGCCGCCGCCUCGGUCCCGCUGCCGCCCCCGGCCUUGGCGCGGCGCCGCUCCAGCAGCUCCCGCUUCCAAAGGGGAAGCUGCGCGCCCGGUCCGCUGCUCCCGCUCCCGCCGCCGGGAAGCCUCCUCCUCCCGUCGCCGCCGCUCCAGCAGCUGCAGCUUCCAGCCGGGAACAGCCAUGUCUGCGGAG
ensembl:lncRNA